UGCCCGAAUCCUGACACAGGGAGGUAGUGACAAGAAAUAACGAUACAGGGCUACAUCUAGUCUUGUAAUUGGAAUGAGUAAAUUUACAUCUCUUAACGAUGAUCAAUUGGAGGGCAAGUCUGGUGCCAGCAGCCGCGGUAAUUCCAGCUCCAAUAGCGUAUAUUAAAGUUGUUGCAGUUAGAACGCUCGUAGUCGGAUUUCGGGGCGGUCCGACCGGUCUGCCGAUGGGUACGCACUGGUCGGAGCGUCCUUCCUGCCGGAGACCGUGCCUACUCUUAACUGAGCGGGGGCGGGAGACGGCACUUUUACUUUGAAAAAAUCAGAGUGUUUCAAGCAGGCAGCUCGCUCUUGCAUGGAUUAGCAUGGGAUAAUGAAAUAGGACUUUGGUGCUAUUUUGUUGGUUUCGAACACCGAAGUAAUGAUGAGAAGGGACAGUCAGGGGCACUCGUAUUCCGCCGAGAGAGGUGAAAUUCUCAGACCAGCGGAAGACGAACCACUGCGAAAGCAUUUGCCAGGGAUGUUUUCACUGAUCAAGAACGAAAGUUAGGGGAUCGAAGACGAUCAGAUACCGUCGUAGUCUUAACCAUAAACCAUGCCGACAGGGAUUGGAGGAUGUUCACUGAUUGACUCCUUCAGCACCUUACGGGAAACUAAAGUCUUUGGGUUCCGGGGGGAGUAUGGUCGCAAGGCUGAAACUUAAAGGAAUUGACGGAAGGGCACCACCAGGUGUGGAGCCUGCGGCUUAAUUUGACUCAACACGGGGAAACU
rnacentral:rRNA from 1 species